CAACAUUGUUUGGCUUGACUCUUUCACAUCCCUUUGUAUUUAUGAAGAAUUGCGCUGAAACAAAAAUCUCAGAGAAAUGUAUGACGAUGCAUACAGUACUAGUGAUGUGGGAAGUGGUUUAUGCUCUUUCUCAAAACAUUUUUCGUUAUCAGUUAAAAGGAAGAAUUGCAGAACACCUAUCAAAUCCAGUUUAUGUUUCCUAUGCCUCUUCUGUAGAAGCCCCUUAGCCAUUCUGGUGUGCUAGCAAAAGAGAAACUUUUUAGUAUGCUGAAAGAUGUGUUGAAGGCUCGGCCUAACAUAGAUGUGGUGAAACUUCAAAAGCCUGGAGGUGUUGUAUCAAGGAAUGCAAAAGUACACCAGAAAGCUAGAGGCUGCAAAAUACAUGCAAGGAUUACUCCUAAAGAUUAAGACAAAUUUUAUGUUUCUCAAAGUUUCCACGAGUUGCUUUUACACGUAUUUUUAUUUAUACAUUUUUUGCCUUGUCAAAUGUGACUGAACUUAACAGUCUUUGAUUUUCUUUUACUUCUCAUAUCAGGAGUACUUGUAUGGACAGUCAAAUGGACUCUCACCACAUUCUAAUGUAGUCAACUUUAGU